CUGUUUUUUAUUUUUUUUAAAAAAAAUUGAAACAAAAUCAAGAUGCGGGCUCGUCAUUUACCCCAUUUCCCCCAAAAUUUUCCCUUUCCCCCAUUUCCUGUGCCGACCACUGUCCCCCUCCCCCACCGUCCGAUUGCCCUCCACCAAAUGGCUAACACUGUCCCCAUCAGACCACCGAUCUCGACCCACUAUCUCCAUAGAUCGAACCCAUUUCUCAAAUCUCCACCGUCCCUCUCCCCCACCCGACCAAGCGCCGCCUAUCAUAUCGAGCGCCGCCCAUCUCCAACCAGGUCUCUCUCUCUCUCGUUACAGACCCACCGACCGCCACCCAUCAGAGCACCGCCCAGCCGAGCAGGAGCGCCGACCACCUUAUUCUAACUCUACGGAUAUAAUGGAUCAUUUUCUCAAUUGGAUGAUCAUUAUAAUCUUCAUGCCUAUGGUUCUCAUACAGUAUGUUCUGCUCCAUAUACUUUGUGGAAAUUUCUAAUAAAUCUGAUAUUAGAGCAAUGCACUGCCAAUUGGGAAAGCAAAGUAAAAUGAAGUUUGAAAUAAGAAGUAAACCUUGGAGAAGGAAGUGGAGACCUUGGAGACGGGGCUGUGAUCGGUCGGCACCGGAAGUGGAGAGCUCGGUCAGCGGUGGAGAUGGGCAAAAAUCGUUGGUCGGCACCGGAAAAUGAGGAAGUUCUGCCGAAAAUGGGGGGAGCUCGGUCGGCGGUGGAGAUGGGCAGAGAUUGUGGGUCUGCGCCGGAAAAGGGGGAAAUCGGCCGGCAAUCGGGGGGAAAUCAACCGGAAAUGGGGGAAGGAGAUUUUUUAGGGAAAUAGAAAGAGGGGAAAAAUUUGGGGGGAAAUGUGAAAUGUCACGGGUCUGUGGUCUCACUAUGCAUAUGCAAAAAAAAAAAAAAAAUCAUUUUUUUAAUAAAUACACUGGCAAUGCCACACUGGAAAGGGACGAACAUGAGACGGAAGAAAGUCUCAUGUCUAGCAUUUCUCCUUAAAUAAGUAUAUAUCAUUCACAAAUCGUGUGGCAUCACAUGUUAGGGAUUAUGACCUAACAUCCAGAUUCAUUUGUAUCACUUUUUCGGUUUAUUAAGAAAGUUGCUUAUUUUAUGAAA